UUAUGAUUUACUGUAUGCUACAUGAUAAUACCGCACUCUAAUUAUCUUCGCUAUCACUGAUACUAGACCGAGAGUCUAUAAAGAAGCCUGUCGAGAAUUCAAUGUCAUCGACUAUCCUCCCCCUUUCAAGAACAUACUUCCCCUCCUUGUACUUUUGGCUCUUCUCAUGUGCUGCCUCAUAUUUCCACCCGACAAUUUGUCCACAAGUGCAACAAAAUAUAUCUGCUACAGUGUGCAAUCCUGAAAGCAUCAUCCUCUCUUCCAACGCUCCAUAAGAAAUGUUUAUCGCAUUAUUGAAAA
rnacentral:misc_RNA from 1 species